GGCCCCGUGGCUCAGUCGGAUAGAGCGGCGGAUUCCUAAUCCGCAGGUCGGGGGUUCGAAUCCCUCCGGGGUCGCCA
rnacentral:tRNA from 2 species